AUCUUAUGUUUAUCUUGGGCUACACCAAAAAGCAUAGGCCCUGAGCCAAUUCUUACAUAGGCUUUGUGGUAGUGGCACUCAGCAGAAGGCGUGUGUUCCAAAACACUAGUAAAUGAGGCAUAAAUUAUUGGGUUCAUCGUCUCUCUCUAAAAAUACAAUUUUUUCAUCUACUGGAUCCCACUUUUUUGCCUCUCCUGCCCCUUCUUCACGGAAAUUUACCCUCUCCUUCAGAUUGCCGAACAAACCUCUUCCUGCAACAUCAGUUACCGACACCUUUAGCUGGAAAAAACUAGCUCAUGUUACUGGCUCCG
rnacentral:lncRNA from 1 species